AACGAACGCUGGCGGCAGGCCUAGCACAUGCAAGUCGAACGCCCCGCAAGGGGAGUGGCAGACGGGUGAGUAACGCGUGGGAACGUACCCUUCGGUUCGGAAUAACCCGGGGAAACUCGGGCUAAUACCGGAUACGUCCGCAAGGAGAAAGAUUUAUCGCCGAAGGAUCGGCCCGCGUCGGAUUAGCUAGUUGGUGGGGUAAUGGCCCACCAAGGCGACGAUCCGUAGCUGGUCUGAGAGGAUGAUCAGCCACACUGGGACUGAGACACGGCCCAAACUCCUACGGGAGGCAGCAGUGGGGAAUAUUGGACAAUGGGCGAAAGCCUGAUCCAGCCAUGCCGCGUGAGUGAAGAAGGCCUUAGGGUUGUAAAGCUCUUUCAGC
rnacentral:rRNA from 1 species